AUGAUGCUUGGGAGAAAGCAGAGUUUGAAGGGUGACCAGAUUUUGGCUGACUACGGCCCGGAGGAAUCUCUCAACGAAAGCGCCGACAUAGAAUGGGUCAACAAGCGAUGGGUACGACGGAUGAUGAGAUCAUGUGCUCUUGUGAGCCUUGUCUCAGUCAGUUUGAACACACCAAAGACCUUCGAAUGUCUCCCACCACUCCAAUACAUCACAUUUUGCUCAGACCUAGUCAUCACUUUUCUCUUCACAACGGAGAUGAUUGCCAAAAUGCACAUAAGAGGCAUUUUAAAGGGAGAAGUGCCUUACCUAAAAGACCAUUGGUGCCAAUUUGAUGCAAGCAUGGUGUUCUUCCUCUGGGUCUCUGUCAUCCUGCAAAUGUUCGAGUUGCUUGGUAUCGUGCCGACAUUCAGCUACCUGUCAAUCUUGAGGGCACCUCGACCACUUAUAAUGAUAAGAUUCAUCAGAGUGUUUCUCAAGUUUUCUAUGCCUAAAUCUAGAAUAAAUCAGAUUUUCAAACGUUCGAGCCAGCAGAUCUACAAUGUUACAUUAUUUUUUUUAUUUUUUAUGUCACUUUACGGUCUUCUUGGAGUCCAAUUUUUUGGCGAAUUGAAAAAUCAUUGUGUUCUUAACACCACUCUUCCUGAUAGGAUAAGUAUAAACAGUUUGGCCAUCCCUGAUACAUUUUGCUCAACAGACCCUGAUUCAGGGUACCAGUGUCCAGCAGGCAUGAAAUGUAUGAAACUCGAACUAGAUAAAUACACCAUGGGGUUCAACGGUUUUGAUGAAUUUGCAACGAGCAUAUUUACAGUAUAUCAGGCAGCAUCACAAGAAGGAUGGGUGUUUAUCAUGUACAGGGCAAUAGAUAGUCUGCCUGGCUGGAGAGCUGUGUUCUACUUCAGCACCAUGAUUUUCUUUCUAGCCUGGCUUGUGAAGAACGUUUUCAUUGCUGUGAUAACAGAAACGUUCAAUGAGAUUAGAGUGCAGUUUCAGCAAAUGUGGGGCAUUCGUGGACAUAUGACAAAUAAAUCUGCAUCCCAGAUUUUGACAGGAGAUGAUAUGGGGUGGAAAUUAGUUACUCUUGAUGAGAAUAAAUACAGUGGCCUCGCUCCACCAAUUUGCCAGACGAUUCUAAGAAGUGCAUCAUUCCGACUGUUAAUGAUGGGAAUUAUCCUCGCAAAUGGAAUUGUCACAGCGACAAUGCAUUUUAAACAUGAUGGAAGGCCUAGGCAUACAUUUUAUGAAAACUACUAUUGGGCAGAAGUUGCUUUCACAAUAGUUUUAAACCUAGAAGCAAUUUUUAAAAUAUGGUGCCUUGGCUUCCGUGGAUACUUCAACCAGUCUUACCAUAAGUUCGAACUCCUCCUGAGCAUUGGGACGACACUACACAUAAUUCCGUCCCUUUAUUUGUCUCCAUUGACCUACUUUCAGGUCCUAAGGAUUUUGAGACUUGUAAAAGCUUCCCCGAUGCUGGAGGAUUUUGUCUACAAGAUCUUCGGGCCUGGGAAAAAACUCGGGAGCCUUAUAAUAUUCACCAUGUGCCUUUUGAUAAUUUCUUCCAGCAUUUCUAUGCAGUUGUUUUGCUUUCUAGCUGACUUUACAAAAUUUGAAAACUUUCCGGAGGCAUUCAUGUCUAUGUUUCAAAUCUUGACACAAGAAGCCUGGGUAGAAGUUAUGGACGAGACAAUGCUAAGGACAAACCAAACCUUAGCGCCUCUUGUUGCCAUUUAUUUCAUACUUUAUCAUCUUUUUGUCACAUUGAUUGUGCUCAGCUUGUUCGUAGCAGUCAUCUUAGAUAAUCUUGAACUCGACGAAGAGCUGAAAAAAUUAAAGCAAUUAAAAUUCAGAGAACAGAGUGCAGAAAUCAAAGAAACUCUUCCGUUCAGGCUUAGAGUGUUUGAGAAAUUUCCUGACAGCCCUCAGAUGACAGUAUUACACAAAGUCUCCUCAGACUUUAUCCUACCAAAGGUCAGAGAGAGCUUCAUGCGACAGUUUGUGGUCGAAGUGGAAGAGGAUGAAAAUGACAGCUUGAAAAAACUCUGUGAGCCGUACAACUCGAAGAUAGUCUACAGGAAGCAAAGAUCAGUGAAGCUCCUAAGUCAGCUCAUAAAAGUUCGAUAUGUCAGCAUAGAACUUAAAAAGGCCGCUGUCACAAAUAUCAUCAAUGAUUCAAACAACCAGAGGCUCAUGCUAGGAGAUUCAGCAGUGAUUCCAGUACCAGGGAAAGGAGCUCUGCAUUCUCAAGGCACGAUCAAUUCAGCGAAACAGCUUCGCCUGGACCAAAAAAAUUGUUUGAAUCGCUCUAUUCGCCGAAGUGUGAGAAGCGGAUCCAUCAAGCUGAAACAGACUUACGAACACCUCAUGGAGAACGGAGACAUCGGUGCAAUGAAUCGAAUGAGCUCCUCACGCAACCGACCCCACGACCUCGAUAUUAAACUCCUUCAGGCUAAACGGCAACAAGCAGAAAUGAGAAGAAACCAGAGGGAGGAAGAUCUUAGAGAGAACCAUCCGCUCUUUGACACACCGCUGUUCAUAGUCCCAAGGGAAUCUAAAUUUAGGAAGGCUUGCCAAAUGAUAGUCUACGCAAGGUACGAUGCCAGGCUUAGAGAUCCACUUACUGGCAAAGAGAGGAAGGUCAAAUAUAAACGAUUACACAAUUUUCUCAGCCUUGUCACUUAUUUGGACUGGGUUAUGAUAAACGUCACCACACUAUCGUGCAUCUCGAUGAUGUUUGAGACUCCUACAUACCGGGUCAUGUCCACAUCUGUACUUCAGAUUGCCGAAUAUGUUUUUGUAAUUAUGAUGAGCUUGGAGCUCACAUUGAAAAUUCUUGCAGAUGGAAUAUUUUUUACUCCGAAGGCUUACAUGAAAGAUGUAGCUUCAAUACUCGAUGUGUUCAUAUUUGUUACAAGUCUGAUAUUUUUGUGUUGGAUGCCAAAAAACGUCCCCGCAAAUUCUGGAGCACAGUUGCUUAUGAUUUUACGUUGUGUUAGACCGCUCAGGAUCUUCACGCUUGUUCCUCACAUGAGAAAAGUUGUCGAUGAACUCUGCAGAGGGUUCAAGGAAAUAUUAUUGGUAUCAAUCCUCUUGAUAGUGUUGAUGUUUGUGUUUGCAAGUUAUGGCGUGCAACUUUUUGGUGGUAGGCUUGCAAGAUGCAAUGAUCCUAAUAUUACCCUGAGGGAGGACUGCGUUGGUACCUUCGAAAGAAGAGUUUUUGUUACAAAGAUGAAAAUCAGGGAAAACAACGGGGAAAGCUAUCCUUCUAUUGUUGUGCCACGCGUUUGGGCAAACCCGAGACGAUUCAACUUUGAUAACAUCGGAUAUGCGAUGCUCGCCCUGUUCGAAGUUUUGUCGUUCAAGGGCUGGUUGGACGUACGUGACAUCCUCAUCAAAGCUCUGGGCCCUGUUCACGCUAUUUACAUUCACAUUUAUAUUUUCCUUGGAUGUAUGAUCGGCCUCACUUUGUUUGUGGGUGUUGUAAUUGCAAAUUAUUCGGAAAAUAAAGGGACAGCUUUACUUACAGUUGACCAAAGAAGAUGGUGUGAUUUGAAAAAGAGAUUGAAAAUUGCUCAACCACUACACCUGCCACCGCGGCCUGACGGAAGAAGGUUUAGGGCUUCCAUAUAUGACAUUACUCAGAACAUAUACUUCAAGAGGUUCAUCGCAGGAAUGGUUUUAAUAAACAGCAGCCUCCUAUGUGUCUCAUGGAGAGAAGAGGAAGGCCAUACCGGUCCACUUGCCUUGGUCAGUACAGCACUGACUUUAGUCUUUGUUGUCGAAGUCGUAAUGAAAAAUAUUGCAUUUACACCACGAGGAUAUUGGCAGUCCAGAAGGAAUCGCUAUGAUCUUUUUGUCACCGUACUAGGUGUUUGCUGGAUAUUUAUAAACUCUACAUUCCAGAACAAUUUAUCAUACACUGUCGGGUACAUUGUUGUUAUACUGCGUUUCUUCACGAUAACUGGAAAACAUGCGACACUCAAGAUGCUCAUGUUGACGGUCGGCGUGUCAGUGUGCAAGAGUUUCUUCAUCAUAUUCGGAAUGUUCCUGUUGGUGUUUUUCUACGCCUUGGCUGGAACCAUACUUUUUGGGACUGUCAAAUAUGGAGAAGGCAUCGGAAGGAGGGCUAAUUUUGAGUCACCAGUGACUGGAGUGGCCAUGCUUUUUCGUAUUGUAACUGGAGAGGAUUGGAACAAAAUCAUGCACGAUUGCAUGAUCCAGCCUCCUCAUUGUACACCUGCUGACAACUAUUGGGAGACAGAUUGUGGAAACACUGUCGCAUCAUUGAUUUAUUUUUGUUCAUUUUAUGUCAUCAUAACAUAUAUCGUUCUUAACUUACUAGUGGCUAUUAUUAUGGAGAACUUUUCAUUGUUCUACUCCAAUGAAGAAGAUGCACUUUUAUCUUAUGCAGAUAUAAGGAAUUUCCAGAAUACCUGGAAUGUUGUUGAUAUCCAUCAGAGGGGUGUAAUUCCAGUAAAACGAGUGAGGUUCAUACUCCGACUUUUACGAGGAAGGCUUGAAGUUGACCCACAAAAGGACAGAUUGCUUUUUAAGCACAUGUGCUACGAGUUGGAGAGACUACAUAACGGGGAGGAUGUGACAUUUCAUGAUGUUUUAAACAUGCUGUCGUACCGCUCAGUUGACAUAAGGAAAGCACUCCAGCUCGAAGAGCUUCUUGCUAGGGAAGAAUUUGAGUACAUAAUUGAAGAAGAAGUGGCCAAGCAGACUAUAAGGACGUGGCUGGAGGGGUGUUUAAAGAAAAUUCGAGCUACGAGUGGGAAGCAGCAAAACAGCCUCAUUGCAGGAUUGAGAGCCACCAAUGAACUCAAUGUUCAACAGGACUUGCAAGAGGAUAAGGCUAAAGAGAAUAAUGUUGACAAAGAGAAUGACGUUGAACAAAAGCAUGAAAAACCAUCGCAUAUGCUCACUGAAAACAAAGGAUUAAAGUGCGAAAAGGUAGUAAGGAAUUUGCAUGUAUUAGAUGAGAAUCUGUCGUUCAAGAUGCUGUUGCAAAGCCUGUUUACAUAUUUGCAAAUGUUUAUAUCAUUUAUCAAAACAAUUAUUCAAGGGCCACCUCAACCCUUAUACCCAAUUCGAGGCUGAGGGGGCGAGGGUGAGAAUGAAACCGAAGGCGAGCACUGCAAUCCCAAGGUCUGACAGUGUCGGCAGUAGCUCAGGGCGUAAAUACUUGGCUCCAACACUGUCAGACCCGACAAGAUCUGACAAGGAGAAGGCCAAGAACAGCAAAAGAAACAGGGCACCAGUCGAGGGUAACGAUGUACAAAAAGUACAGCAAAGGGAAGUCAAUAGUAAACCUCAUCCGAAAGUCUCGAGUAUCACUGUGGAAGUUAGGGACUGGUGGUCAGAACAAAUUGGACACAACUCGGACUCAAGCGAGGAAGAAUGAUCCAAUUUUGGCCUAUUUGUUAUAAACGAUGGUUUGCUAAUAAAAAAACAUAAAAAAAAUUAUAUACAAUAGAAAAUUGUA